ACGGCUCAGUAACACGUGGACAACCUACCCUCAGCACGGGGAUAAACCCGGGAAACUGGGUAUAAUACCCGAUAGUUCUGGGAUGCUGGAAUGCUUCCAGGACGAAAGCUCCGGCGACUGAGGAUGGGUCUGCGGCCUAUCAGGUAGUAGUGGGUGUAAUGUACCUACUAGCCUACGACGGGUACGGGUCGUGAGAGCGAGAGCCCGGAGAUGGAUUCUGAGACACGAAUCCAGGCCCUACGGGGUGCAGCAGGCGCGAAAACUUUACAAUGCUGGCAACAGCGAUAAGGGGACCUCGAGUGCCAGGAUACAAUCUUGGCUGUCGUAAUGCCUAAAAAGCAUUGCAUAGCAAGGGCCGGGCAAGACCGGUGCCAGCCGCCGCGGUAACACCGGCGGCUCGAGUGGUAACCGCUAUUAUUGGGUCUAAAGGGUCUGUAGCCGGCCGGAUAAGUCUUUUGGGAAAUCCAGCUGCUCAACAGUUGGGCUUUCAGAAGAUACUGUUCGGCUCGAGGCCGGGAGAGGUGAGAGGUACUUCAGGGGUAGGGGUGAAAUCUUGUAAUCCUUGAAGGACCACCAGUGGCGAAGGCGUCUCACCAGAACGGUCCUGACGGCAAGGGACGAAAGCUAGGGGCACGAACCGGAUUAGAUACCCGGGUAGUCCUAGCCGUAAACGAUACUCGCUAGGUGUCAGCCACGGUGCGACCGUGGUUGGUGCCGUAGGGAAGCCGUGAAGCGAGCCACCUGGGAAGUACGGCCGCAAGGCUGAAACUUAAAGGAAUUGGCGGGGGAGCAC
rnacentral:rRNA from 1 species